rnacentral:rRNA from 1 species
UGUGUGCAAGUGGUAGGAGAGCGUUCUAUUUGCGUCGAAGGUAUACCGGUAAGGAGUGCUGGAGCGAAUAGAAGUGAGCAUGCAGGCAUGAGUAGCGAUAAUUAAUGUGAGAAUCAUUAACGCCGUAAACCCAAGGUUUCCUACGCGAUGCUCGUCAUCGUAGGGUUAGUCGGGUCCUAAGUCGAGUCCGAAAGGGGUAGACGAUGGCAAAUUGGUUAAUAUUCCAAUACCAACAUUAGUGUGCGAUGGAAGGACGCUUAGGGCUAAGGGGGCUAGCGGAUGGAAGUGCUAGUCUAAGGUCGUAGGAGGUUAUACAGGCAAAUCCGUAUAACAAUACUCCGAGAACUGAAAGGCUUUUUGAAGUCUUCGGAUGGAUAGAAGAACCCCUGAUGCCGUCGAGCCAAGAAAAGUUUCUAAGUUUAGCUAAUGUUGCCCGUACCGUAAACCGACACAGGUGGGUGGGAUGAGUAUUCUAAGGCGCGUGGAAGAACUCUCUUUAAGGAACUCUGCAAAAUAGCACCGUAUCUUCGGUAUAAGGUGUGGUUAGCUUCGUACUAGGAUUUACUCCGAAAGCGAAGAAACUUACAACAAAGAGUCCCUCCCGACUGUUUACCAAAAACACAGCACUCUGCUAACUCGUAAGAGGAUGUAUAGGGUGUGACGCCUGCCCGGUGCUCGAAGGUUAAUUGAUGGGGUUAGCAUUAGCGAAGCUCUUGAUCGAAGCCCGAGUAAACGGCGGCCGUAACUAUAACGGUCCUAAGGUAGCGAAAUUCCUUGUCGGUUAAAUACCGACCUGCAUGAAUGGCGUAACGAGAUGGGAGCUGUCUCAAAGAGGGAUCCAGUGAAAUUGUAGUGGAGGUGAAAAUUCCUCCUACCCGCGGCAAGACGGAAAGACCCCGUGGACCUUUACUACAGCUUGACACUGCUACUUGGAUAAGAAUGUGCAGGAUAGGUGGGAGGCUUUGAGUAUAUGACGCCAGUUGUAUAUGAGCCAUUGUUGAGAUACCACUCUUUCUUAUUUGGGUAGCUAACCAGCUUGAGUUAUCCUCAAGUGGGACAAUGUCUGGUGGGUAGUUUGACUGGGGCGGUCGCCUCCCAAAUAAUAACGGAGGCUUACAAAGGUUGGCUCAGAACGGUUGGAAAUCGUUCGUAGAGUAUAAAGGUAUAAGCCAGCUUAACUGCAAGACAUACAAGUCAAGCAGAGACGAAAGUCGGUCUUAGUGAUCCGGUGGUUCUGUGUGGAAGGGCCAUCGCUCAAAGGAUAAAAGGUACCCCGGGGAUAACAGGCUGAUCUCCCCCAAGAGCUCACAUCGACGGGGAGGUUUGGCACCUCGAUGUCGGCUCAUCGCAUCCUGGGGCUGGAGCAGGUCCCAAGGGUAUGGCUGUUCGCCAUUUAAAGCGGUACGCGAGCUGGGUUCAGAACGUCGUGAGACAGUUCGGUCCCUAUCUGCCGUGGGCGUAAGAAGAUUGAAGAGAUUUGACCCUAGUACGAGAGGACCGGGUUGAACAAACCACUGGUGUAGCUGUUGUUCUGCCAAGAGCAUCGCAGCGUAGCUAAGUUUGGAAAGGAUAAACGCUGAAAGCAUCUAAGCGUGAAGCCAACUCUAAGAUGAAUCUUCUCUAAGCUCUCUAGAAGACUACUAGUUUGAUAGGCUGGGUGUGUAAUGGAUGAAAGUCCUUUAGCUGACCAGUACUAAUAGAGCGUUUGGCUUAUCUUUAAUAAAGCAU